rnacentral:rRNA from 1 species
CCUACGGGUGGCAGCAGUAGGGAAUAUUGCACAAUGGGGGAAACCCUGAUGCAGCGACGCCGCGUGAGUGAAGAAGGAUUUCGGUAUGUAAAGCUCUAUCGGCAGGGAAGAAAAAGACGGUAACUGAUUGAGCCUCCCCGGCUAACUACGUGCCAGCAGCCGCGGUCAUACGUAGGGGGCACGCGUUCUCCGGAUUUACUGGGCGUAAAGUGGGCGGAGACGGCAGCACAAGUCUGGAGUGAAGUGCCGGGGCUUAACCACGGAACUGCUUUGGAAACUGUGCAGCUGGAGUGCAGGAGAGGUAAGUGGAAUUCCUAGUGUAGCGGUGAAAUGCGUAGAUAUUAGGAGGAACACCAGUGGCGAAGGCGGCUUACUGGACUGUAACUGACGUUGAGGCUCGAAAGCGUGGGGAGCAAACAGGAUUAGAUACCCUUGUAGUC